GGAUGUGAGGGCGAUCUGGCUGCGACAUCUGUCACCCCAUUGAUCGCCAGGGUUAAUUCGGCUGAUCUGGCUGGCUAGGCGGGUGUCCCCUUCCUCCCUCACCGCUCCAUGUGCGUCCCUCCCGAAGCUGCGCGCUCGGUCGAAGAGGACGACCUUCCCUGCUAGAGGAGGACCGGUCUUCGGUCAAGGGUAUACGAGUAGCUGCGCUCCCCUGAUAGAACCUCCAAACAAGCUCUCAAAGCUGUAAUCAAAGGCUAGAGUGAAGUGAGAGAGGGUAAUUUAGUAAAAUGGGUGGUGGAAGCAGCUGGUGGAGCUGCCUAAAAUCC
rnacentral:snRNA from 1 species